UGAGCAAUCUGCCCCUCUCUUUGGAAUAAGCGUUGGAAACGACGUCUAAUGCCGAAUACGACCUCCUUUCGCAUGAUCGGAGGUGGAAAGCUCCGGCGGAGGAGGAUGAGCUCGCGGCCUAUCAGCUAGUUGGUGUGGGUAAUGGCCCACCAAGGCGACGACGGGUAGCCGGCCUGAGAGGGUGACCGGCCACACUGGGACUGAGACACGGCCCAGCUCCGUACGGGAGGNAG
rnacentral:rRNA from 1 species